GCGAAGAACCUUACCAGGUCUUGACAUCCUCUGAAAACCCUAGAGAUAGGGCUUCUCCUUCGGGAGCAGAGUGACAGGUGGUGCAUGGUUGUCGUCAGCUCGUGUCGUGAGAUGUUGGGUUAAGUCCCGCAACGAGCGCAACCCUUGAUCUUAGUUGCCAUCAUUAAGUUGGGCACUCUAAGGUGACUGCCGGUGACAAACCGGAGGAAGGUGGGGAUGACGUCAAAUCAUCAUGCCCCUUAUGACCUGGGCUACACACGUGCUACAAUGGACGGUACAAAGAGSUGCAAGACCGCGAGGUGGAGCUAAUCUCAUAAAACCGUUMUGAGUUCGGAUUGUAGGCUGCAACUCGCCUACAUGAAGCUGGAA
rnacentral:rRNA from 2 species